CUUCCACAGUGUCAUUCUAAGCUUCAUGCCAAAGAAUGUGGUUUUCCCUUUAAUUGGAAUGCUGUGCAAGGCUGUACCUGGCUGCCAUGCAUUUCAACAAGAAUGCAGAGUGAGACCAAGCAACAACUUCCAAGGUCAAAGUUGUCUACAGGAUAAUGUUCCCAAAGUCCAACAAGGAAGAAUGCACAGCAAAGCCAACAUUCAAGAUUUUGCUGAAUCCAGUGAGGGACAUUAUAAAUGCAGAAAAUAAUGACUUGUGAAUCCCAGAGAACAGGAUACUAACUCUGAUAUUGAC